UUCCCUUUGUCCCGCACUCACCAAAAGUAAACCAUCACCUACCAGAUACCUGUCCCGCCCUAGCCAAAGCCGAUUCCCUCUUUCCCACACUCAAUAAAGGAACCACUUGGAUGACCGCCACCUGAACAGACAACGUAGAUACCUGCCACCUGCAACAAAAGAAAUUGAAUGUAAGUUUGAGAUCCGCCUCUAUAAAAGGAAGUGAAGGCCAUUCGAUGGAGGUAGAGUUUCAAGAGUCCAAGCUUAAAAGCUAUAUUUCAGAGACCCUUAGAAGCCAAGUCUUUUCUCUCUCCUCUUCUCUCUUCUCUACCCUUUUAGUUUUCAGUUUUAUGUGUGAUUGAAACUACAAAGACCUUCCGAGUUACUGCCCAUCCCAAUGGAGGUCAUUUUCUAGCUAUUGUAUCUGCAGACUAUAAGUACUUCUGUACAAGGUCCCAAGCAUGCAUGCAAUAAAAAAUAUUUAACUCAUAUGUCAUUACUUGUUGCCACUCAAGUUGACUUACAACUUCUUUGUAAGUCUGGGCUUCAAAAUAAGAAUGAACAGAAGCAAGAAAGACUUGGUGCCGAGGUAAACAGAUUUUGUAGUUAGCAAGUCAGGCAGGUGGGAUAAAUACACGGGUGCUUCGUCUGAGAGCAGAAGCGAUAUAGGAUCAACAGGUGUAGGCUUUUGAUUAGGACUGUCAUCAUAAAUUGGUUGAGUUUCGUCCUGUUCUUGAAGUUGAGGAACAAGAGUGGAAUUUUUAGAAAAAUUUGGAAUAGAAUCAGAAAAGGGAACCCAAAAAAAAAAGGUGAGAGGAUGAGUUAUCGUUUUUAUUUUAAAAAAUAUGGAAGAUGCUCAGAAACACAACAUGUAGGGAUACUCUUAGUUUUUGGUUGCAGAGUCAUAGCAUCGAUACCCUUUUUGGUGAUCAAGGUAACCUAUGAAGCAACAUUUCACAGUCUUGGGAGACAACUUGUAUCUUUCAGUUGAGAGUAACAAUAUAAAACUAGUACAACCGAACACACGCAGAAGGGAAUAAUUGGAUGAUUGAGCGAACAACUUUUUGAACGGUGACUCUCUAGAAAAAAUGGAGGAUGACAUGAUGUUGUUGAGAUAAAUUGUUGUACGAACAGCUUUUGCCCAAAAUUCUUUUGGGAUAUAUGUAGACAAAAGAAGGGCUUUUGUGAUUUCUAAGAUAUGUGGGAUUUUUUACGUUCUACAACACCAUUUUGUUUUUGA